CCUACGGGAGGCAGCAGUGAGGAAUAUUGGUCAAUGGACGAGAGUCUGAACCAGCCAAGUAGCGUGAAGGAUGACUGCCCUAUGGGUUGUAAACUUCUUUUAUAUGGGAAUAAAGUUUUCCACGUGUGGGUUUUUGUAUGUACCAUAUGAAUAAGGAUCGGCUAACUCCGUGCCAGCAGCCGCGGUAAUACGGAGGAUCCGAGCGUUAUCCGGAUUUAUUGGGUUUAAAGGGUGCGUAGGUGGAUUGUUAAGUCAGUUGUGAAAGUUUGCGGCUCAACCGUAAAAUUGCAGUUGAAACUGGCAGUCUUGAGUACAGUAGAGGUAGGCGGAAUUCGUGGUGUAGCGGUGAAAUGCAUAGAUAUCACGAAGAACUCCGAUUGCGAAGGCAGCUCACUGGACUGCAACUGACACUGAGGCUCGAAAGUGUGGGUAUCAAACAGGAUUAGAUACCCGUGUAGUC
rnacentral:rRNA from 1 species